rnacentral:rRNA from 1 species
CAAUAGCGUAUAUUAAAGUUGUUGCAGUUAAAAAGCUCGUAGUUGGAUUUGUGGUGUGUCCAGUCGGCCUUUGCUCUCUGAGUGAUUGUGCUGUACUGGUCUGCCAUGUUUGGGUGGAAUCUGUGUGGCAUUAAGUUGUCGUGCAGGGGAUGCCCAUCGUUUACUGUGAGAAAAUUAGAGUGUUCAAAGCAGGCUUAUGCCGUUGAAUAUAUUAGCAUGGAAUAAUGAUAUAGGACCUUGGUACUAUUUUGUUGGUUUGCGCACUAAGGUAAUGAUUAAGAGGGACAGUUGGGGGUAUUUGUAUUCCAUUGUCAGAGGUGAAAUUCUUAGAUUUUUGGAAGACAAACUACUGCGAAAGCAUUUACCAAGGAUGUUUUCAUUAA